UGUUUUUGAGAAGGUGUCAACUUUCGUUGUUACAGAAGAGAAAGCAGAGAAAGAUGGAACUGCAGAAACUAAAGCAGAAGAAACAAGUAGUGGUACUGUCCAAGAGAGAGAGAUAGUGGUUGAAGAGGAGAAAAAGGUGGAAGAAGAGCCAUCUGAGGCUGCUGCAAAAGAGGAAGAGAAACCUGGUGAACCAUCUGAGCCUGCUGCAAAAGAGGAAGAGAAACCUGCUGAAGCUGAGAAAGGAGAACCACCAAAACCUUGAUGUAGCUGCUUCUUGAAGAUGAUGCAGCAGAUAUACGUGUACUCUUAGUUUGCAUAUACUCAAAAUUGUCACAUAUCAUUUCCUUAUUCUUUUAUUCCUGUGUAAAAUCGGUUUUGUGCUGCUUAGUUUGAUAUUGUUGUUGCAGAUUUGGUGAUUAAUAUAUGUGAAUGUUUUAUGGU
rnacentral:lncRNA from 1 species